rnacentral:rRNA from 1 species
AACGUAGGGGACAAGCGUUAUCCGGAUUUACUGGGCGUAAAGCGCCCGUAGGCGGCUUGAUAAGUUGGACGUGAAAGCUCCCGGCUUAACUGGGAGAGGCCGUUCAAAACUGCCAAGCUAGAGUGAGGAAGAGGAGAGCAGAAUUCCCGGUGUAGUGGUGGAAUGCGUAGAGAUCGGGAGGAAUACCAGUGGCGAAAGCGGCUCUCUGGUCCUAAACUGACGCUGAGGGGCGAAAGCGUGGGGAGCGAACGGGAUUAGAAACCCCCGUAGUCC